AGUCUUCUCCAUGGCCAGCUGAGUACAGGUCUGGGCACACGGUGCCGGGAAGCCUGGUCAGACAGAAUAGAAUGGGGCAGAGACAGCCAGAUGAAUCCUGUAGGAGCAUCAGGAAGGUCCCCCUGGCCAAAGGCCGAAGACCUCUCCCGUCUCCCUGCCCCCAGCUCAGAGACUGUGUCCAAUGGAGCCUGGAGAAGGGGCAUUUCAGGCCAGUUAGAGCCACCAUAUAAAGAAGUCCAGGCUAUCCUGCCCAGAGACCACACAGAGGAGAACCAAGGCACCUCUGCUGACAACCAGCACCAACUGCCAGCCAUGUGAAUGAGCCUGUUUGGAAGAGGACCCUCCAGCCCCAAUCAAGCCUUGAGAUGAUGCAGCCCUGACCAAUAUACCUGCAACCCACGAAGGACCCCAGGCCUGGACCACCCAGCUAAGCUGCUCCUGGAUUCCUGACCCUCAGAAACUGCGAUAUAAUAAAUGUCUGUUUUAGACCACUUAAGUUUAGAGGUAAUUUGUUAUGCAGCAAUGGAUAACUGAUACACUUGGCCAGUCUCAUUGUCUGGAAUCUCAGCAUCAGAACUUCACCUAUGGGCAGGUUAAGUCACUGUCUUCUCCGUGUCUCUCCCCAGCCCUGAGAUAAAUAAGAACUGGCUAAUGCUGAUUUGCUGAGUCAGAUCAUGGGUAGAAGACACCUCUGAUUUGGUUAGGUGAUGUCAUUCUGGGAAUGGUAUGUGGCCACUUAAUCAUUCUGAACACCCACAGGCCAGGGGUGGUUAACAAAGAGCAGUUUUGACAGAGUUGUGUGACUUCACAGCUUUCCUAUAGUCAGCUUCUAGAAAAGGCACCCCCUGCUUAAGGGGCAGGGCUGUCUUGAGGAUGAGGGCUUGAGGAGAGCUGGGCUCUGACUGGAGUAGGGCCCAGGUUCCACAGAUCCUGUCUUUGGGCCCUGACACUCCUGGGAUUUCUCCAUUCCUUGCCCCAUAGUGGCCAUAGCUGCAUUCGUGAGACCCAC
rnacentral:lncRNA from 1 species